AUGCACGCUGGCGGCAUGCCUAACACAUGCCAGUCGAACGAAGGCUUCGGCCUUAGUGGGGCACGGGUGCGUCACGCGUGGGAAUCUGCCCUUGGGUUCGGAAUAACAGUUAGAAAUGACUGCUAAUACCGGAUGAUGUCGUAAGACCAAAGAUUUAUCGCCCAAGGAUGAGCCCGCGUAGGAUUAGCUAGUUGGUGGGGUAAAGGCCUACCAAGGCGACGAUCCUUAGCUGGUCUGAGAGGAUGAUCAGCCACACUGGGACUGAGACACGGCCCAGACUCCUACGGGAGGCAGCAGUGGGGAAUAUUGGACAAUGGGCGAAAGCCUGAUCCAGCAAUGCCGCGUGAGUGAUGAAGGCCUUAGGGUUGUAAAGCUCUUUUACCCGGGAUGAUAAUGACAGUACCGGGAGAAUAAGCUCCGGCUAACUUCGUG
rnacentral:rRNA from 1 species